rnacentral:rRNA from 1 species
AUAUCAAUAAGCGGAGGAAAAGAAACCAACAGGGAUUGCCUCAGUAACGGCGAGUGAAGCGGCAAAAGCUCAAAUUUGAAAUCUGGUAGUUUUUAACUGCUCGAGUUGUAAUUUGAAGAGCUUAACCUUGGGCACAGGCUCUGUCUAUGUUUCUUGGAACAGGACGUCACAGAGGGUGAGAAUCCCGUGAGGUGGGGCUAUUGUGUUCUUGUAGGUUUUGUUCGACGAGUCGAGUUGUUUGGGAAUGCAGCUCUAAGUGGGUGGUAAAUUCCAUCUAAAGCUAAAUAUUGGCGAGAGACCGAUAGCGAACAAGUACAGUGAUGGAAAGAUGAAAAGAACUUUGAAAAGAGAGUGAAAAAGUACGUGAAAUUGUUGAAAGGGAAGGGCAUUAGAUGAGACUUGGUAAUUCAGGCACAUCCUCCUCUUGUAGGGGGUGCACUCCUGAUAUUACUGGGCCAGCAUCGAUUCGCGCGGUGGGAUAAUGCUUCUUGAAUGUGGCUACAUUUUUUGUGUAGUGUUAUAGCUUGGAGAGAUACUGCCAGUGUGGAUCGAGGCUUGCGUCUUUUUAGACUAGGAUGCUGGCGUAAUGAUCUAAUGUCGCCCGUCUUGAAACACGGACCAAGGAGUCUAACGUCUAUGCGAGUGUUUGGGUGUAAAACCCGUACGCGUAAUGAAAGUGAAUGCAGAUGGGAGUGAGUAAAAUCAUGCACCAUCGACCGAUCCUGAAGUUUUCAGAUGGAUUUGAGUAAGAGCAUAGCUGUUGGGACCCGAAAGAUGGUGAACUAUGCCUGAAUAGGGUGAAGCCAGAGGAAACUCUGGUGGAGGCUCGUAGCGGUUCUGACGUGCAAAUCGAUCGUCGAAUUUGGGUAUAGGGGCGAAAGACUAAUCGAACCAUCUAGUAGCUGGUUCCUGCC